UACGUAGGGAGCAAGCGUUGUCCGGAAUCAUUGGGCGUAAAGCGCGCGUAGGUGGCCCUGUAAGUCCGUUGUGAAAGUCAAAGGCUCAACCUUUGAAAGCCGAUGGAUACUGCAGGGCUAGAGUACGGAAGAGGCGAGUGGAAUUCCUGGUGUAGCGGUGGAAUGCGCAGAUAUCAGGAGGAACACCAAUAGCGAAGGCAGCUCGCUGGGACGUACUGACACUGAGGCGCGAAAGCGUGGGGAGCGAACAGG
rnacentral:rRNA from 1 species